UCUAACGACGGGCCAGCGGGAGCGGGAAUACGUAGGGUGAACGCGUGAAUCGGAAUUACUGGGCGGAAGGCGUGCGCAGGCGGUUCUAUAAGACAGAUGUGAAAUCCCCGGGCUCAACCUGGGAACUGCAUUUGUGACUGUAGAGCUGGAGGGCGGCAGAGGGGGAUGGAAUUCCGCGUGUAGCAGUGAAAUGCGUAGAUAUGCGGAGGAACACCGAUGGCGAAGGCAAUCCCCUGGGCCUGCACUGACGCUCAUGCACGAAAGCGUGGGGAGCAAACAGGAUUAGAUACCCCAGUAGUC
rnacentral:rRNA from 1 species